rnacentral:lncRNA from 1 species
GUAUUUCACCCGGCGUUCCGAAGAUGCUACAGAAUGCUCUGCACCAACUUUUGCAAUCGCCGGCCCGGCUUGGCCUGCCAACUCCCAGUUCACCUUCUGUUCAGAACCCAAGCCCUCCUCCUAAGUUCUCCUCACAAGUGUCGCAACCUCAUCACGAUGUGUUUCAUUGCUAAAGUUGUUCAUUAACAUAUCUUUUUUGCCUUUUCUAGUAUUUCACCCGGCGUUCCGAAGAUGCUACAGAAUGCUCCGCACCAACUUUUGCAAUCGCCGGCCCGGCUUGGCCUGCCAACUCCCAGUUCACCUUCUGUUCAGAACCCAAGCCCUCCUCCUAAGUUCUCCUCACAAGUGUCGCAACCUCAUCAACCCCUUCAACAGUCAAAUAUGUUAACUACUACUACCACCUCUUCGGCACUCCUUCCUCUUCUCCCACCUCUCUCCAGAGCUCAGUCUCUUC